rnacentral:rRNA from 1 species
UACGGAGGGUGCGAGCGUUAUUCGGAAUUACUGGGCGUAAAGCGCACGUAGGCGGUCAGGCAAGUCGGGUGUGAAAGCCCUGGGCUCAACCUGGGAAUUGCAUUCGAAACUAUCUGACUCGAGUAUGGGAGAGGGAAGCGGAAUUCCCGGUGUAGCGGUGAAAUGCGUAGAUAUCGGAAGGAACACCAGUGGCGAAGGCGGCUUCCUGGACUAAUACUGACGCUGAGGUGCGAAAGCGUGGGGAGCAAACAGG